rnacentral:misc_RNA from 1 species
GAUGAAGAACGCAGCGAAAUGCGAUAAGUAAUGCGAAUUGCAGAAUUCCAGUGAGUCAUCGAAUCUUUGAACGCACAUUGCGCCCCUUGGUAUUCCAUGGGGCAUGCCUGUUCGAGCGUCAUUUGUACCCUCAAGCUUUGCUUGGUGUUGGGCGUCUUGUCGUAUUACGACUCGCCUUAAAUACAUUGGCAGCCGGCACUUUGGCCUAGGAGCGCAGCACAUUUUGCGAUCGUAGCCCGUUGUACUGGCGUCCAUCAAGAACAUUUACCACGUUUGACCUCGGCUCAGGUAGGGAUACCCGCUGAACUUAAGCAUAUCAAUAAGCGGAGGA